rnacentral:tRNA from 1 species
GGUGAGAUGGAUGAGUGGCUGAAAUCAACAGUUUGCUAAACUGUCGUACGGGUUAAACUGUACCGAGGGUUCGAAUCCCUCUCUCACCG